GGCGUUGUGACAGGAAUUUAUACCUGAUUGUGUUAAUCUUCAACCCAUAAAUCACCCUGUAUUAAAUUGGAGAGAGAGGAAACGUAUUCGCAUGAUUUCAAAACUCGGCUCAUAUUUUCUGAAUCAAUAAUCAUAAAUAAACUUUCAUUUGAUCGUAAAUAAACUUUUUAAAGGUAUUUCUGAGAAGAAAAAUGCUUGAAAAAUAAAAUUUAACCAUCGUCAGUUUAGUUUUUAAUUUCAUCUGUCCAGGGAGUGAAAACUACUACUAAAAGUUAAAUUUCG